GCCCCCAUCGUCUAGUGGCCUAGGACAUAGCCCUCUCACGGCUAAGACAGGGGUUCGAGUCCCCUUGGGGGUA
rnacentral:tRNA from 3 species